ACUACACAUGUUGUGGCAAGCUUUGACGUCAUUCCUCAAGGCACAUUUCUCUAUGCAAACUCAUCUCAAGUAGCAACGAACCAGCCAACCUAGUACUCUCCGUCGAUCAGAAGCAAGGAUGGUUCUGUGCUACAGUAUAUACCCGUUUGUAACCACUACUCUAAGUACACAUGCAUUUGAUUGUUUUCCGACCUCUGUAAGCGAGAGGCAUCACUGGAGCCGUGUGAUAAGUGACGACACUCGGGUCUGUAGCUGCCAUUUUCCGUUGGAAAAGAGAAAUGGUACAAGAAAAGUCCAACAGGAGUGCAUCCCUCAGACAGUAUGAUGCAUGGACAUCCUGUGUCAGUGUGAUCCGCUUGUGGAGACUACAGCUGAUCGAGCCUGUGAACGGACAGAUACGAGGCGUGACAUGCUGAAACCUCAGGCUCACCCCACGAGAAGCAGUAAAUGAUCAACGCCACCCUCAACAAGGAGAUCUGCUGGAAGUGAUUUACUCUCACUCUGGGGAAUGUCAGGUACAGACAUGGAAAUGGAGCCUUUAGCAAGUACUGACAGGAGGGGCAAUAUGAAUCUGUCAGAGGUUGUCACAAUGGGUGGUGAAGGAGGCUUGGUGCUCCACACAACGAAGAAGCAGUGUCCCUUCCAGUGAUUAUGGAGCUGACCUUGGACCUGGUGCCAGUAAGGAUGGUCUUCACGGAAAUCCUUCGACUUCACUGCCUCUUCAAUGGUAAGGUCCCUUGCCCCAUAGGGACACUUGACCACCACCACUGCAGACAAUCCGGUGAGGAUCCCAGACCCCGUGACCCAAAGCCCUGACUCCUGCAUCUCCAUCCCUGUAGCCAUUUUGAAUGUCUUGAUGCCCUCCUCUUUGUUAUCUAUGCCCCACUUUACAGACAUCACCCCAUCUAACGACUGACCCGAGGACCCUUUUUAGUAGCAAUGGAGGACAAGUGCAGUUUUUCCAUAAACUUUUAAUUGAUAAAUUGGGAUUUUAUUGCUUAAGAUAUCAGUCAUAUAGUGGGAAGGAUCCUAUAAAUUUAGACUGAAUGCGUGUACCACUGAAUAAAUAAAUACUGUGCCUCUGAA